AUUGAACGCUGGCGGCGUGCUUAACACAUGCAAGUCGAUCGGUAACAGGUGUAGCAAUACAUGCUGACGAGAGGCGGACGGGUGAGUAAUGCUUGGGAAUCUGCCUAUUAGUGGGGGACGAACCCGGGAAACGUACGGCGUAAUACCGCAUACGCUCUACGGAGGAAAGACCGGGGACCGGCAAGGCCUGGCGCUAAUAGAUGAGCCCAACGU
rnacentral:rRNA from 1 species